rnacentral:rRNA from 1 species
UACGGAGGGGGCUAGCGUUGUCCGGAAUUACUGGGUGUAAAGGGCGUGUAGGCGGCCCGAAAAGUCCAGCGUGAAAACGUAUGGCUCAACUGUACGCUUGCGUUGGAAACUGCCGGGCUUGAGUUCGGGAGAGGAGAGCGGAAUUCCUAGUGUAGCGGUGAAAUGCGUAGAUAUUAGGAGGAACACCGGUGGCGAAAGCGGCUCUCUGGACCGACACUGACGCUGAGGCGCGAAAGCUAGGGGAG